AGUGAACGCUGGCGGUAGGCCUAACACAUGCAAGUCGAACGGCAGCACAGUAAGAGCUUGCUCUUACGGGUGUCGAGUGGCGGACGGGUGAGGAAUACAUCGGAAUCUACUUUUUCGUGGGGGAUAACGUAGGGAAACUUCCGCUAAUACCGCAUACGACCUACGGGUGAAAGCAGGGGUUCUUCGGACCUUGCGCGAUUGAAUGAGCCGAUGUCGGAUUAGCUAGUUGGCGGGGUAAAGGCCCACCAAGGCGACGAUCCGUAGCUGGUAUGAGAGGAUGAUCAGCCACACUGGAACUGAGACACGGUACAGACUCCUACGGGAGGCAGCAGUGGGGAAUAUUGGACAAUGGGCGCAAGCCUGAUCCAGCCAUACCGCGUGGGUGAAGAAGGCCUUCGGGUUGUAAAGCCCUUUUGUUGGGAAAGAAAAGCAGCAGGUUAAUACCCCGCUGUUAUGACGGUACCCAAAGAAUAAGCACCGGCUAACUUCGUG
rnacentral:rRNA from 1 species